AUCAACUGAAGCGCAGGACGCGCUCAGGGUCAUGGAUGAUCGACCAUUUGCAAGGAUCGCAACGACAGGAUGUCGUCAUGGUCUUGAAAACCCGCUUCGGCGGGUUUUUU
rnacentral:sRNA from 1 species